rnacentral:snRNA from 1 species
AUCGCUUCUCGGCCUUUUGGCUAAGAUCAAGUGGAG